GGUUGACCUCGGAUCAGGUAGGAAUACCCGCUGAACUUAAGCAUAUCAAUAAGNCGGAGGAA
rnacentral:rRNA from 1 species